rnacentral:rRNA from 1 species
AUUGAACGCUGGCGGCAUGCCUUACACAUGCAAGUCGAACGGCAGCAUAGAGAGCUUGCUCUCUGAUGGCGAGUGGCGAACGGGUGAGUAAUGCAUCGGAACGUACCGUGUAAUGGGGGAUAACGUAGCGAAAGUUACGCUAAUACCGCAUACGACCUGAGGGUGAAAGCAGGGGAUCGCAAGACCUUGCGUUAUACGAGCGGCCGAUGUCAGAUUAGCUAGUUGGUAGGGUAAAGGCCUACCAAGGCGACGAUCUGUAGCGGGUCUGAGAGGAUGAUCCGCCACACUGGGACUGAGACACGGCCCAGACUCCUACGGGAGGCAGCAGUGGGGAAUUUUGGACAAUGGGGGCAACCCUGAUCCAGCCAUGCCGCGUGAGUGAAGAAGGCCUUCGGGUUGUAAAGCUCUUUCGGCCGGGAAGAAAUCGCACAGGCUAAUACCCUGUGUGGAUGACGGUACCGGCAUAAGAAGCACCGGCUAACUACGUGCCAGCAGCCGCAGUAA